rnacentral:rRNA from 1 species
GACGAACGCUGGCGGCGUGCUUAACACAUGCAAGUCGAACGGAAAGACCCUGCUUUUGUUGGGUUCUCGAGUGGCGCACGGGUGAGUAACACGUGAGUAACCUGCCCUUGUCUUUGGGAUAACUUCAGGAAACUGGGGCGAAUACAGGAUAUGAGCUCCUGCUGCAUGGUGUUGGUUGGAAAGUGUCGGCUGUGGGGGAUGGAUUCGCGGCUUAUCCGCUUGAUUGUGGGGUAGUGGCGUACCAAGGAUUUGACGGGUAGCCGGCCUGGGAGCGUGACCGGCGACAUUGCGACUGAGAUACGGACCAGAAUCCUACGGGAGGCAGCAGUGGGAAAUAUGGCAGAAUGGGCGGACGUCUGAUACAGCAACGCCGCGUGCGGGAUGACGGCUUACGGGUUGUAAACAGCUGUCGCAGGUGACGAAGAGUGCGUGACGGUAAUGGGUAAGGAAGCACCGGCUAACUACGUG